CCAAUAGCGUAUAUUAAAGUUGCUGCAGUUAAAAAGCUCGUAGUUGAAUUUCGGGACUAAUAUGUUGGUCGUGCCUCGGUACGUACUGAUAUUUUUGGUUUCUCCCUUCUGACGAACCUUGAUGUCAUUAAUUUGGUGUCUUGGGAAAUCAGGACUGUUACUUUGAAAAAAUUAGAGUGUUUAAAGCAGGCUCACGCUUGAAUACAUUAGCAUGGAAUAAUGAAAUAGGACGUUUGAUUCUAUUUUGUUGGUUUCUAGGAUCGACGUAAUGAUUAAUAGGGAUAGUUGGGGGCAUUAGUAUUCAAUUGUCAGAGGUGAAAUUCUUGGAUUUAUUGAAGAAUAACUACUGCGAAAGCAUUUGCCAAGGAUGUUUUCAUUAAUCAAGAACGAAAGUUAGGGGAUCGAAGACGAUCAGAUACCGUCGUAGUCUUAACCAUAAACUAUGCCGACUAGGGAUCAGAUGAUGUUAUUUUUAAUGACUCAUUCGGCGCCUUACG
rnacentral:misc_RNA from 1 species